rnacentral:lncRNA from 1 species
GGAGGCUUUAUAAUUAUUAGGUCCUAAAUAUACAUCUAUUAUAAAAUAAAGAGAGGGUUCUAAAGAGAAGAUAGGACCUUUAUUAAAAAUUGUAUAAGAUUCCAAUUACAUGGUGUCGUAAUAUGUGAAGUCUUGCUUGAGAAUGCUCCGGGCACCUGGCUGUGGAAGAAAGAAUGGAAAUUGCAAUAACAAAAUUUUAAUUCGAAUAGAAUACUAAAAAUAUUCUAAUUAGACCAUAAUAAUACUAAACAAGCUUAAUCAAAUUCAAUAAAACCUCAAAGAAAUUUCAAUCAAACAAUAAGAAUUCUUAAAGAAAUAUUAGAAAGAACACAAAUAUCACUCAAAUACAUCUCAAUUCAAUCUUAAUUUAAUUCUAAUUAAAAUCCUAUUGAACUUCAUUCAAACUUUAGGCCAAAACUAAUUGAAUCUUAAAUCCUAAUAAAAUCCUAAACCCUAAAUCAAACCCUAAAAAAACCUUAAACCAAACCCCAACCAAAUCCUAAACCAAAUCCUAAUCAAACCCUAAACCAAUUCUAAACCCUAAAUGAAAUCCUAACCAAAUUCUAAUCUAAAUCCUAAAUCCUAAAUAAAACCCUAACCAAAUCCUAAAUCAAAUCCUAAUCCAAACCCUAAACCCUAAAACAAACCCUAACCAAAUCCUAAUCCGAAUCCUAAAUCCUAAAUCAAAACCUAAUCAAAUCUUAAACCCUAAAUCAAACCCUAAUCAAAUCCUAAAUCCUAAAUAAAAUCUUAAAAAAAUCCUAAAACAAAUCCUAAUCCAAAUCCUAAAUCCUAAACCAAAUCUUAAUCAAAUACUAAAUCCUAAAUCAAACC